CGAUAGUGUGCCGGAAAUCAAGUCCAGCUCCCCCCCCCGCCCCGCCCCGGCCUGCCCCCCAGCUCCCCUCUCUAUUUCAGCAGUCUGGGGAGCUCGGCAGUCUCUUUCUUGUUCCCUUGGCCUCGUACUUCAGAAACUGUCCGACAGGUGCUUUUGGAGCUAGAUGAGGACAUCGGAUCCCGUAGAGCUUCAGGCGUUUCGAACAAUCUAUGUGGUGUUGGAAACUGAACUCUGCUCCUGUGGGAGAGCAGCAAGUCCUGAGCCAUCUCUCCAGUUCAGGACAUGAGGUGCUUUGUUGCCCAAACAAGAAGACCUUGAAUUUCUGAUCUUCCUACUGGAUUACUGGCUUGUAUCUCCAAUUUAUGUAGUACUUGAGAUCAAAAUUGUGACUCUGUGCACACUAGACAAGCACUCUGCCUCGCUCAACACAACAAUGUGUGUGUGUGUGUGUGUGUGUGUGUGUGUGUGUGUGUUCUUUUUGGGACAGGGUUCUUAUGUUUAACACCUCUGCUGUCCUAGAACUCACCCUGUAUUCCAUGCUAUCCUUGCACUCCCGGAGAUCCACCUGUCUCUGCCCACUGAGUGCUGGGAUUAAAGACAUGCACCACCACACCUGGCUCAAGCAACACAUUUAAAAGCAGAAUUUUAAAAUAACUAUACCUUUUUUUUUUUUUUUAAAAGAGAGCCAGGUGAUGGUGGGACACACCAUUAAUCCCAGCACUCAGGAGGCAGAGGCAGGCAGAUGUCUGAAUUUGAGGUCAGCCUGAUCUACAGAGUGAGUUCCAGGACAGCCAGGGUUACACAGAGACACCCUGUAUUGAACAACAACCAUAAAAGACAUCUUUAGGGUCUAGAGAGAUGGUUCAGUGGUUAAGAACACUGACUACUCCUCCAAGAGGACCCAAGUUCCAGUCCCUAAACUCACAAGAUACCUAAUGACAGUCUAUGAUUCCAGUUUCAGGAGAUCUGACAUCCUCUUUUGACCCCACAGUCAUUGUACACAUGUGGUGUACAGACAUGCAUGCUCUCAUUCUGCAGCAAUAACAGG
rnacentral:lncRNA from 1 species